CACCUCUGGUUUUCCGUCAAAUGACGCAUAAAUUUUUCGCCUUUCACUAAAGAUUUCCAUUGAGAGGAACAACUGAUGGAUCCAUAAAAUAAUCUUUUACCAAUUAAGUCAGCUCAUAUAAAUUA